GACAGAGGGUGCAAACGUUGUUCGGAAUUACUGGGCGUAAAGCGAGUGUAGGCGGUUAGGUAAGUCGGAUGUGAAAGCCCCGGGCUCAACCCGGGAAGUGCAUUCGAUACUGCCAAGCUAGAGUAUCGGAGAGGUUGGUGGAAUUCUCGGUGUAGAGGUGAAAUUCGUAGAUAUCGAGAGGAACACCGGUGGCGAAGGCGGCCAACUGGACGAAUACUGACGCUGAGACUCGAAAGCGUGGGGAGCAAACAGG
rnacentral:rRNA from 1 species